rnacentral:pre_miRNA from 1 species
CAUCUAUUCCUUCCGUUUCAAAUUAUUUGUCGCAGGUAUGGAUGUAUCUAAAUGUAUUUUAAUUCUAGAUACAUCCAUUUCUGCGACGAGUAAUUUGAAACAGAGGAAGUAGAAG